rnacentral:lncRNA from 1 species
ACCUCUUAGUUUGGCUUUUUAUGUGAGUAUCUCCUGGGGGGGGGGGCGGUAAUCUCCUUGAGGAUAGGAUCCAUAUUAAAUAGAUCUUUCUUUGUGUCCCCCAAACCAUUUAGCAAGUGCCUAGAGCAUAGCUGGUGCUUAGCACAGUGGAGCUGAAGGCACAGGAAGGGGAGGGGACAGGAAGGAGGAUGGGGGGGCAGUCAAGAAGGACUCCAAGGCUCUGAGGGAGGGGUUUCAAGGGCGUCGGGUGGGUGUCAGCCGAGGAGCUGGCCUGCAGGCUAGAGCUGGUGCGGGCGUGCAGACAGAAUGGUGCUCCGGCUGCCCCUGGACAGGUGCCUCAGGCAGGGCAGACAAGGUGCCCUCGUUGGGUUUGCGGUGUGGAGAAGGGCAGUACACAGUGUCCUGCUCCCUCCAGAGGUUGUUUUUGGCAGGGGAACCCACUAGAAGCUUGCCACAAGUUCCCUUGAGCUUUUCAGGGACUUCCUGGAGGGCAGGCCCCCAGGCCCCCCCCCCCCACGGGGGCAGAAUAAACGUGGCUUCCAGGCGCCUGGCUUUCUCUGAAGGGUGCGCGCCCCACUAGGCCCAGAGGCAUCCCUGUCUAGCUCCUCGCUUUCCGUGCCACUUCCCACCCAGGAAGAGUUCAUGGGUGAGCGGCCCCGGAGAGGCAGGGCUGAGGCGCUUGUUGGGAAAGGGGUCCGACGUCAGCCUCCACUUGUCUCCUGCUCUGCCCUGACGCCGUCUCCACGGAGCUCAGGCUCUUCCUCGCGCUGACCCCAUUUCCCCUCAGAAAUAGAACACAGGGAAAGUGACCUCCCCCCUACCACAGAAGGAGCCGGCCUUUGAGAGUUAACACGCUCACACCCCCAGCAGCAGGCCUUUCAAAGCGGUGCCCCCUCUACAACCUUCUGUCCAUCCCUCUCCCUCAGCUCCUGUCCCCCGGCCCUGGACUUGGGCCCCCACCCUGCCAUGCCUGCAGAUACAGGGCACGUGGGAUCCCCACCGUCUGCUAACUGCAGACCACGCCACUCCAUCAGCCUGGGGGGGGGGGCUGGGGGGGGCACAACUCACUAGCCAUCACCACCAGUCCUUAGACGGGCACUUCUCCAGCUUUAAUGGGCAUCUGAGUUAUCUGGCGAUCUCGGGAAAACGUCAGUUCUGAUUUAGUAGGUUCUGUUUUUCUAACAAGGCCCCAGGGUAGGUUGGGGAUGCUUGUCCACGGACCACACUGCCAGUCGCAAAGAUUUAGGACACUCAACUGUUUCGGCACCUAUGGAGACCCGCCGUGUGUACGUUAUGGCCCCUGGUCUCCAGGACGUAUGAGAAGAGAGUCGCGUAGGAUUUCUCUACAUGCGUGAAUAGACGAGGGAAUGAACGAAUGACUCAGGGCACAACCCCACGGUACUGGCGAUAUGUAAGUGAGGAGUGCGAGGGAGGGAGAGAGAUGGGAGACAGAAGCCACCCACUUUCACCUGUCUGGCAGGUUUGGGGCCCCUCCAGGGGUGCCCCUGGAGCCACUGUGCUGUGCCAUUGCUGGACAAGUGCCCAGAGCAAAGGCUCUCUGGCUCUGGGACACGGCGGUGGCUGGACGACCUUCCGAUGCAGAACCGACUGCCUCACUCACAGCCUCUGCUGGGAGUGCUCCGACAUCUCUGCAUUGAGGCAUUUGUGUUUUUCCCUGCACCCCAGCACCACCAAGGACUGAUGAGAGAGACACACGUUCCUUAGAAGCCAGAACACCAUGCACUUUAAGAAAACGCAAGACUUGGUAUGAAAGGCUUAUGUAAAGGAAGGAAGGAAGGAAGGAGGAAGGAAGGAAGGGAAAUGGGAAGAUCAUCUCUGUAUUUCUUCAAAAAGUAAACCUUAAAAAAACAACAACAACAACCCCAGACACCUUUCUCUCUUUUUCCGCAAAAGGCCUAUCUAGUGGGAGACAAGUUGAAGUGGGAGAGAGGAGAAGUAAGAGAGGCAGGUCUGAGGCAGACUCAGUGACAAAUAGCGGCAUUCAUGGAGUCCUCUGCGUCUGGCCUUGAUUUCAUCCGGACGGCUACGUCUUAUUCCCGGUGGCCCCCAAGGCUGACUCCACACUGCUCUGGGAGCCUUGCCAUGUCUUCUGCUUCAUUGCCUGUUUGCCUUCUUAUAGGAGCCAACCGGUGCCCUUCCUAUGCCUCUGCAUUUUCAAAACCCUACCUGUCCCAGAGGCAAACUUCUCCCAGGAAGCCUUCCCCAGCGUUGCUCUCUGCUAUUCUUUCUGUCCUUCUCUCUCUCUCUCUCUCUCUCUCUCUCUUUGUGUGGUUUCUUUUCUUUUCCUUUUUUUUUUUUUAGGAGGGUAACUUCCUUCCAGCAUUUCUCAAAUUCCUUUUUUCUCUUGUUUCCUUUACGAGAAUCCAAAGGCAGUCUCUUCACCCUCUCUAUCUCCCCGUUUCGUACAGAAGCGCUAAGCUGGAGUCUCACGGGGCUGAGACAGGACGGAGGACAGAGUGGGAUUCUUGAUGUUGUUUGCAUUUGAAGACACAUAGUAACACAUUUAUGCUCCUAUGCGAUGGAAUGUACACCGUGAAUCUGGAAACCCUAUCCUGGAUAGUCCUGAUUCUGUUACUCUGCCCCCAAAAUGCCAAAGGAAAACAUAAACACAUCUUGAAAGGACGUCUGAACUGAGCCCAACCGACAGAAGCUGAAUGUCACUGAACGAGGCGGACCCGCCAGCGCUCCACCACGGCUGGCCGGCCGUCUGGGUGAAGUGCGGCUAGAGGCUGAGUGAAGUGUGCGCCUUCACCACCUGCCAUAUUUGGGGUGGGUUUACCUCUUUGGAAUGCGAGUCCUUCCUCACUUUAUCACUAUUUUUAAAUGGAAUUUGUGCAGAGGGAGAGAAAGACCCUUUCUUUCCAGUCUACCUACAAAUAUCUUUCCCAGUGAGUCUGUGUCUACAGAAGUCUAAAUUUAAUAUGCCCAUAAAAAGGGAAAAAUAGUUGAACGGUUAGUUUGUCUACACCAUACAAAAAUGACUGGCUUCAUCCAUCUGUCUCACCGCAUCGAUCUGAUCUGGGGCAGAUGCACCGAUUGUGUCUGUUUGAUCGCCAAAUGUUCUACCUGCUAUCAGGCGUGCUAUUCUCCAAGGUGUAAGUGGAUGACGAGGCCACGUGGGACCUUUGUCCUCAGCCAUCCAUGCUUUUCUUCCACCGAGUGGGGGAACCAGCAGCUCUUUGAUACAGUUCUGCAGUUCAAGGCACCGCGGCGCUUCCGCAUCUAUUUUGCACUGCUAGGACAGGAGAUUUUUUUUACUUUAAGUGAACAAACAUUUAUUUUCAUUAUGUUUAACGGAGACCUUUCUAAAAUGUAAUGCGUAGCUCCCUGCCUCCUCAAAGGGACUGUAUUAAACUCAAAUGAACAUUUUCCUGGACAUUGAAGUUCAUCACUAUGAACCACAGCACUGCGGCAGAUGCUAUGAAGCUGGACACCCCCUGGUGCCAUUGAGGACCAUGGAGCAUUUGACCCCAGCCCUCUUGGCCCCAGGCUACCAUGUCCUUUAUUCACUGUGUCAACUUCAUAUUGCGUUUUCUGUCUUCUUUUCUUGUCCCUUCUUGCCGUUCUUAUUGUGCUUUCGUCCCACAACUGUUUUGCUAUCUUACCUCUAUCUUUCUGCAUCUAAUUGGUGAGGUCAGAUGACGUUAACUGUGAAUGCAAUAUCUAAACCAUGACCAACACACCCAGGGCAAGAGGGGCUGUACUAUGCAUAAAAUGCAUAUGCUUUUAGUCCGUGACGUGAAUUAUGGCUGCUCAGGUUUCCGAGUGGUGCUUCUUCCCCUGCUCACCGGUUUAUUUCCUCUUCUUUUCAGCUUCUUGGCUAUGUUCUGGAUAGUGAGAUUGCUGGGUAAGUAAUCUCCAAAUCCAUGAUUUUUUUUUUUCUCUUUUUGCCACAUACAGGUUCAGUCUUAGUCUGAGUCACAAAUUAGAGGUUUUGAAAUGGUAGUUGUUUGGAUUCACGAAUGGGUAAAAUAUUAAUAUUGGUGUUUAGUUGGCUUUACAUUUAAAUAAUUGCCGUAAUUUAUUUUGGCUUUGUUGAUUUAAAUUUUAAAUUUUAUUUUGCUUUGCUCAAUUCUCUUCUCUGAUGAAAACAAAAUCCGCCCCCCCCCCUCCCGCCACAGCAAGUGGAGAACGAAACUGUAUUCACAGAUGAACCAUGAUUACUGGGAAGAAUCCAGAGUUCUUAUAUGUAGAAAGAGUUCACUAGCAAAGAUGAAUCACAGCGACAGAGGAUGAAAUCAAGAGCAACUUAGCUCAGAAGUAUGUGGCACUUUGCCGCUGGUCAAACUAGAUCACUUUGAAAUAGGCUUUAAUUUUUUCAUAUAUUUUAGUGUUUUCCCCAAGACUUUGUUUUCGGUUGAACUUUUAUGGCCAUUUCUAUUUGAGGUCAGUUGUAUGCAUGCCUAGCUUGAUAGCUGCUUAUGUAUUGCUUGCAUCACAAAAGAAAUCAUAUUUUGCAACUAAAUGCACUAGUCCACAGGGGGUGCACCUAAGGCAGUGCUCUUGUCCCAAGGGGCUCCCAGGCUCGUUGGUAAGAUAAGACCAGUUAAUGCAAGGGUUAAAAAAAAAAUGAAAACCACACAGAAAACAUAUGUAUCUUACAGUGUAACUGUGGAUACGGGCUACAAGUGCCGGAGGGAUUCAGAAAGGCAGGGAGACAUUGUGUUCUAGAGAUAUCCGAGAAGGCUUCUCAGAGGGGCUUUCACCCAGGGGGUCUUGGGAUUUGGUCAUCCUACCUUCCCGGUGGAAGAUGGGACCCAUGGCCCCAAGGAGGGCACUGGGACACUGUAGGCCUGAGAGCAGCUUUCUCUGGGCAGAGGCCGGGGCCGAGGAAAGGCUCAGAGCUUAAUGCAACCUCCCUGAACAGGAGGUGAGGAAGAGAGCGAAGGAAGGCCCCUGGCGGGUAGAGGAGUUGGAACCAGUGAUUCAGUCCCUCACCCACCUCCAUCCGGACUGCACGAAAAUGUGGAGCCAUCUCUUUAAACAGUGACAGUUCUUUCUCUCUCUGGCCAGCACACAUGCACACAAGUCCUGCACUCUUGGAAUUCGGGGCUCUACUCAGGGAAGCUUCAUAGCAUGGGGGAGUGGAGAGAGGGAAGGGAAGCCCAGAACUCCCUGUGUAGCUUCUUCCAAGUGCCCUCAACUUCCAGAAGGAAAGCACAGCAAAAACCCCACCGCCGAGGAGGGGAGAUCCGGGCAAGUCAGACCCCCAAGUCCAAGUUUCACGGAAGUUUGUAUUUUUCCUAAAGUUGUUUGAGAGACCUGACAGUCCUCGGGGACAGAAAACCAUCUCGUCAGGAGGAAGAAGGUCUGUUUGGGGUCCUUUCCUCUCUAAUAUCAAUGGAGUGAGUCACCAGGAGCCAAGAGAAGAGCGUGGCUGAGCCCUGAGAAGGAGGCAGCAUCGGGCCAAGAUGCCCCAAGGGAGCUCACCGGGGAAGGUGAAGUGAGGUGGGAAGCAGCAAGAGGGCCAGGGGGCCAACUAGGAAAUUCUGGCUUCUCCCCCGGCUCACAGAACUCGGUCCAGCUGGAGCAGCCGCCUCACUCCCUGGACGGGGCUGCAGCAGUGACCAAUGUCCCUGGCCAGAACUGCUCAACCCCGGGCGGCAGUGCCCACUCCCCCCCGGGGCCCUCUCCAGGCCCCCGGCCAGGAAGAGCAGACACCACGUCUGAGCCUGGAACUAGACAGUCCCCCACCUCGGCAGCACGCACGGUUUAGUCUGGGCUCCCUCCGUCCUCUGUCGCU